UACGUAGGGGGCGAGCGUUGUCCGGAAUUAUUGGGCGUAAAGAGCGUGUAGGCGGUUCGGUAAGUCUGCCGUGAAAACCUGGGGCUCAACCCCAGGCGUGCGGUGGAUACUGCCGGGCUAGAGGGUGGUAGAGGCGAGUGGAAUUCCCGGUGUAGCGGUGAAAUGCGCAGAUAUCAGGAAGAACACCCGUGGCGAAGGCGGCUCUCUGGGACGGUACUGACGCUGAGACGCGAAAGCGUGGGGAGCGAACAGG
rnacentral:rRNA from 1 species